rnacentral:rRNA from 1 species
GACAGAGGGUGCAAACGUUGUUCGGAAUUACUGGGCGUAAAGCGAGUGUAGGCGGCUCGAUAAGUCGGAUGUGAAAGCCCCGGGCUCAACCCGGGAAGUGCACUCGAUACUGCCAAGCUAGAGUAUCGGAGAGGUUGGUGGAAUUCUCGGUGUAGAGGUGAAAUUCGUAGAUAUCGAGAGGAACACCGGUGGCGAAGGCGGCCAACUGGACGAAUACUGACCACUGAGACUCGAAAGCGUGGGGGAGCAAACAGG